rfam:Bacillus selenitireducens MLS10, complete genome.
GAAAGCAAGAAGGAGCGCCCGCUUCUCACCUGCUCGGCAAUGAAGCUGCCAGGUUACGACUUUUUUCUAAAACGUCAGUAAAGUGUGGGCUCAUCUAUGUGCUCACACUUUUUUUAGUGU